AACACUCUGAGAGGGAGAUUUGUGUGCCUGUGAGGGGCAGAUAAUACAGGAUCGGGCAGAGGGAGAAGUGGAGCUGUGAUAUAGUCAUAGCAGAGGAUGCAGCUGGUCCCUCAGGGCUUAGGCCUGGGGUGGCCUUCAGAGAUGUCCCAAAUUGAUGCCGGAGUGGAGACUCGACCGGUCACUGGAUGUGUGCUUCCCCUCCCCCCAGGGACAAAAAUGUGGCUCUCUUGGGCCUCAGCUGUGAGCUGUGAGCAGCCGACACUCCUGCAGCUGGAGGAAGGGUCUUGGUCCUGGAUGACUGGUGUGGGUGGCAAACCCCAAAUCUGCGAUCAACAGUACGCUGAUGUUUAAACAUGAGGCAGCUGCAGUCUCAGGAAGUGUGUGGUGAAGCAGGGAAGCUAAAGCCCAGGCCUUCAAGCCAAAGAGCCAGAAAGGGUGGGGGAAUAAGGGUGGGGUGGGGUGGCCCCAAAGCCAGAAAGUGUCACAGAGACUGAAGAGAAGGAGGUGCUCAGGGCAGGAAUCCCAUAAAGCUGGAUCCAAGCUCCUGGGCCCAUCCCUCGACGGCACAGGCAUGGACCGUAAAUAUCCCUCGACGGCGCAGGCGCGGGCCGUAAGUAUCCCUCGACGGCGCAGGCGCGGACCGUAAAUUGCACACCGAAGGCCCUGAGAACUGAACCGUGGGUAGAUUAUCACCCCGGUCCCAGACUGGCCACUGGUUUGUGCACGUGUGGGGCAGAUCCCAACCACAAAAUACAGAGACUUGAAAACUGACAUUGGAGCUGCCCUCGCUGGAACUUGGGGUCUCAGCCUAAGUCAACUACCUGCUAAAACCAACCUGCUGACAAACAAAAAUAACAUUCUCUGCAGGCUUUAAACAAGACCCAGAAUCUCAUAACUUCAUCUUCACAGAGUCUAAGAUACAAUCCAAAACUACUCAACGUACAAAGAACCACAGAACUCUCACAUCUCACAAGGAGAAAGACAAGCAACUGAGGCCAAUCCCAAGAUGAGGCAGGUGUUGGAAUAUCACAGACGUUAAGCAGCUGUUAUAACCAUGCUCCAAGGAGUAAGAACAAACACUACUGAAGUGAACAAAAAGAUACAUCAUCUUGGCAGAUACAUGAAAUAUUAAAAAGAAAUAUGAAAAUUUUAGAACUGAAAAAUACAACAACCCAAAUAGAAAAUUCGCCUGAGAGGCACAAGAUGAGAAUGGGCCACAGGCCAUGGACCUCCACAGGCAGCCCCGAGGCCUCCUCGGGUUUGGAGGACGUGGGUGGAGGGCACUGAGACCAGCACCAAAACAAGUGGCUUUGGUCCCAGAACCCUUGAUGCUGCUGCCACUCAGGCCACCCAUGUCCAAAUCUGCCCAGUCCUGCCUGGCUCACAGUCUGGCUGUGCCUGCCUCCCCUCACCUCCACCCCUGCCCCACAACCAUUACGCAUUUCCUCAACUGCCUCCUCUAUGAGCCCCUCCCACCCAGAUGCAAGCUCCCACCGGGAGGGGACUGGUGGUUUCUCUCUUACUGUCAUCACGACGCUCUGCAUACAGCAAGAGGCACAAGAGGAGGUCUGGCAAAAGGAGGACGCACCUCCAACUUGGUCUGCAGGGAAGAAGCAAAAGUGAACAGGAAAUAAGGUCUCGCAGCUGGAAGUUCUGACGCUUUGAAUUCCUCACAAUUUCUCAACCCCAUUUCAAGACGAGGAAACUGAUGCCAUUGAGAGAUUAAAAGGCUAGAAUGGGCGGGCGCGGCG
rnacentral:lncRNA from 1 species